UCAAAUCAUAAGCAUUCUCUAACUCCACAAGUCAGAACUAUAAUAGACUAGGCGGUUAUAACGUACAUAAUGUAAUGUGUUUGUUUAUAUGCUCUUUUCAGUCAUAAAUAUGCAAGGUAAUAUAGAUUGUGGAGCAUCUGACUAGGCAGCAAGGACUUAACACUAUGUUUUUAAUUUACUACCAUAAGCUUUUCUUAUUAGCAUAUUACUACAUUAACGGGUCGCAUAGUUAAGGGUUAAACAGCUCACAGACUCAGAUGAAUGCUAGCAGUAAACGAC